CUAAAAAUUGAUAGCACCCAGUUGCCCUUGGUUGAUCUCAUAGGUUAAGCAGGAUCGUGCUUGAUUUGCAUAUGGAUGGGGCACCAUCUGGAAAUUUCAGGGCUGUUGGC
rnacentral:rRNA from 1 species